AUAGCACACCGAAGCAUUCGGUUGAAUAUUAAUCCGGAUGUUUCUGUGAGGUUGUUUCUGGAUGAAAUGAACAUUUUUGUAGACUGAGUAAAGUAGUUUGCCGCCUCUCCCGACCCAACAAUGUGGGUGGGGCUCAUCCAAUCAGUUGAAGGCGUUACUAGAACAAAAAUGCUGACCUUUUCAUGAGUAAGGGGGGAAGUCCUCCUGCCUGACUACCUUUGAACUGGGACAUGUGCCUUUUUUUUCUGCCUUCAGACUCAAACUAAACGUCAGCUUUUCCCGGCUCUCAAGCCUGCUGGUCCCUGAACUAAAACUCACAUUAUCAACUCUACUGGUUCUUAGGCCUUUGGAGUCAGACUGGAACUACAGCAUUGACUCUUCCGGAACUCCAGCUUACUGACUACAGAUCUUGGAACUUUUCAGCUUCCACAACCAUGAUGCCCUGCGGUUGUUUUCAGGACUGAAGACAACAGCUCCACGAUGUAUCUUUGCAUAAGAAUACACUUGUAUAAUAAGUUUUUUUUUUUAGAGAAAUUGCAUGUAUCUGCCUUAUAAACUUUUUCAUUCAUUCAUUUUCUUUCUUCCUAAUCUGUUCCAUAAAGCAAAUUUCUAACUUAUUGUUAAUCAAAAUAAUUAUUGAAAUAAUUAGUACUUUCAUAUGAUAAAGAUUAUUUUAAUCUGCAGCUACAAAAUAUGUAACUCAUUAAUAUUUAAACAAUCACAAUUUUCUAUUAACAUUAUAGCAUUUUAUCUACUACUAGAUCAGGAAUUAGCUAUUUUUUGUAAAAUUUCUUUGUAAGGCAAAGCAAUAGUAUUGUAUAUACUUUCCUAAAGAUUGUCAAGUUCAGUUUUGCUUAAAUUUAACAGUACAUGUGACACUUUCUGUUUGAAGAAUAAGUUGGUUUUAAGUUUAUACCAAACAAAAGCAUCUCUUUUGUUUUGCAAAAUCUGAAACUUUGAUCUUUCUAGUUGUGACUUCUUGUAAAUAUGUUUUAUAUAAAUAUUCUAUGAAUUGGUUAUUAACAAGGUAAAGAAAGAUUGAUAUGUAAGCUGAUUCUUAAACAUUAAUUUUCUGGAGAUAAACUUUUUUAAAAUUAUGCUUUAAAAAUAUUUUAACACAUGUUAUCAAAAAGGAACUGAAAUAUCUUAGGCAUAAAAGACAUCUCUAGAGGUCAUUAUUCAGUUUCCAGAAAGUACUGAAACUAUCUCUGACAGAUUGAUACGUUUUCUGCAUUUAUAGCUCUCUGGAGAGAGGUUCUGUAUAUUUAACAAUUCUCACUGUGAGGGAUAUUUUAAGUAUUUCAAAUUUAAAGUGCUCAUGUUUCAGAUUCAGAUUAUUAUUAUCAUCAUCAUUAUUUUGGUUCUGGCUUCAGUAAAAAUGUGAAAAA
rnacentral:lncRNA from 1 species